GGGACCUGCUUUCCCACAACUUUUAUACUACCCAGAGAUCUGACAUCAGUGAGCAAAAUGACUCUGGACCUUUACUGCAAUACAGUUGCUGCUCCUCUCAAGAACAAAGAAGGCAGCCACAACCAUCUGAGAAAUCAUUCCAGCAAAACAAAAACCGUUUAGGAAACCAAUUUAAGAUCGGAAGGCCAGCCCCUCCCACUGUGGAAGUCAGAAGUUGCUGGAACCUGUUGGAGUGUGAUGGAGGCAGUUCCCACUGACUUGCCUAUUAUCUAGGCCAGCAAAUAAGUUCUUUCAUGAUGAGAAAUGAAUGAAAUGUCUAAGUUAUUUCACCUUUCUUGAUAAGAUCAUUCACUCUGGAAAAAGAUGGACAUCAUGUCAUGAGUGACUCUUUGGAGAGGUCUAGGCAGUGAGAAGCUAAAGUUGCCUUGAAAAACACAGAACCGUGAGCUUGGAAGUGGAUCCAUCCGCCCCAGGUGGUCCUUGAGAUGAUCACUGCCUUGGUCUACAGCUUGACUGCAACAUCAUGAAAGAGUCAUGAGGUCUAAAACAACCCAGCUAAGCCAUGUUUGGAUUCCUGACCCUUCAAAACUGGGAGAUAAAAAUAUCUGUUGAUUUAAGGUCACUUGUUACGCAGCAACAGGAACAGAUACAGACUGUUUCUGGCUCUAAAAUCCUGUAAACCUAAAGUCCCUGAAAUAUAUAGCUAUUAUAUUCAGGAAAAGGCUGGUUUCUGACAAUCUCUCCCCUCCCACCCCUAGCCAGAAUCAUAAAGAGAUAAUAUGUAUCAAAAUACAUUUUGGAAUAACAAUAUUUAUCUUGUUUUUAUAAGAGUUCCAAAGGAUUUGUUGAUUUUGCUUCACUGAACCCUUUAUUUCACAAAUGAAGGUGGAAUCCAAAUAAAUUAGGU